rnacentral:rRNA from 1 species
AACGCUGGCGGCGUGGAUAAGACAUGCAAGUCGAACGAGAAACUUACUUAGCUUGCUUUGAAAGUUUCUAGUGGCGGACGGGUGAGUAACACGUGAGUUACCUGCCCCGAAGUGGGGGAUAGCCUUCCGAAAGGGAGAUUAAUACCCCAUGUGAUCGCAAGAUUAAAGGCGGCCAUCUUUGAUGGCUGUCGCUUCGGGAUGGGCUCGCGGCCUAUCAGCUAGUUGGUGAGGUAACUGCUUACCAAGGCGAUGACGGGUAGCUGGUCUGAGAGGACGACCAGUCACACUGGAACUGAGACACGGUCCAGACACCUACGGGUGGCAGCAGUCGAGAAUCAUUCGCAAUGGGCGAAAGCCUGACGGUGCGACGCCGCGUGGAGGAUGAAGGCCCUAGGGUCGUAAACUCCUGUCAUCAGGGAGUAAUGGCUCACGUAGUAACUGCCGUGAGCAGUGAUAGUACCUGAAGAGGAAGGGACGGCAAA